AGCGAACGCUGGCGGCAGGCUUAACACAUGCAAGUCGAACGGGCUUAUUCGGAAGUCAGUGGCAGACGGGUGGGUAACGCGUGGGAACGUGCCCUUCGGUUCGGAAUAACUCAGGGAAACUUGAGCUAAUAGCGGAACCGCCCCUUUUGGGACAGGUUUCCUGCGGAAGGAACGGCCCGCGUCUGGUACGCUUGUUGGUUGGGUAACGGCCUACCAAAGUGACGAUUUGUAGCGGGUAUGUGAGGAUGAUCCGCCACACUGACACUGUGACACGGCGGGGACUCCUACGGGAUGCAGCAGUGGGUAAUAUUGGACAAUGGGCUCAAGCCAGAUCCAGCCAUGCCGGGUGAGUGAUGAAGGCCUUAGAGUUAUAAAGCACUUUUGUCCGGGACGAUAAUGACGGUACCGAAAGAAUAAGCCCCGGCUAACUUCGUG
rnacentral:rRNA from 1 species